AGUGAACGCUGGCGGUAGGCCUAACACAUGCAAGUCGAACGGCAGCACAGUAAGAGCUUGCUCUUACGGGUGCCGAGUGGCGGACGGGUGAGGAAUACAUCGGAAUCUACUUUUUCGUGGGGGAUAACGUAGGGAAACUUACGCUAAUACCGCAUACGACCUACGGGUGAAAGCAGGGGAUCUUCGGACCUUGCGCGAUUGAAUGAGCCGAUGUCGGAUUAGCUAGUUGGCGGGGUAAAGGCCCACCAAGGCGACGAUCCGUAGCUGGUCUGAGAGGAUGAUCAGCCACACUGGAACUGAGACACGGUCCAGACUCCUACGGGAGGCAGCAGUGGGGAAUAUUGGACAAUGGGCGCAAGCCUGAUCCAGCCAUACCGCGUGGGUGAAGAAGGCCUUCGGGUUGUAAAGCCCUUUUGUUGGGAAAGAAAAGCAGCAGGUUAAUACCCCGCUGUUCUGACGGUACCCAAAGAAUAAGCACCGGCUAACUUCGUG
rnacentral:rRNA from 1 species